rnacentral:rRNA from 1 species
GACGAACGCUGGCGGCGUGCUUAACACAUGCAAGUCGAACGGAAAGGCCCUGCUUUUGUGGGGUGCUCGAGUGGCGAACGGGUGAGUAACACGUGAGUAACCUGCCCUUGACUUUGGGAUAACUUCAGGAAACUGGGGCUAAUACCGGAUAGGAGCUCCUGCUGCACGGUGGGGGUUGGAAAGUUUCGGCGGUGGGGGAUGGACUCGCGGCUUAUCAGCUUGUUGGUGAGGUAGUGGCUUACCAAGGCUUUGACGGGUAGCCGGCCUGAGAGGGUGACCGGCCACCUUGGGCCUGCGGUACGGACCAGACUCCUACGGGACGCAGCAGUGGAGAAUAUUGCACAAUGGGCGGACGCCUGAUGCAGCGACGCCGCGUGCGGGAUGCCGGCCUUCGGGUUAUAAACCGCUUUCGCCUGUGACGAAGCGUGAGUGACGGUAAUGGGUCAAAAAGCCCCGGCUAACUACGUG